CCCUUAGAUGUCCUGGGCCGCACGCGCGUUACACUGAUGCAUUCAACGAGCUUAUAACCUUGGCCGAGAGGCCUGGGCAAUCUUGUUAACGUGCAUCGCGAUAGGGAUAGAUUAUUGAAAUUAUUAAUCUUGAACGAGGAAUUCCUAGUAAACGCAGAUCAUCAAUCUGCAUUGAUUACGUCCCUGCCCUUUGUACACACCGCCCGUCGCACCUACCGAUUGGAUGGUCCGGUGAAGCCUCGGGAUUGUGGUUCUUGCCGCUUUAUUGUGGCGUGACCGCGAGAACUUGUCUAAACCUUAUCAUCUAGAGGAAGGUGAANUCGUAACA
rnacentral:rRNA from 1 species